UUCUCCAUCUCCUUCCUCCCACGCCAUUUCCAUACUUCCACCCCAUUUUCACUUGACUCCCAUGCAAUUGAAGAGAAAAAUAGAAAGAAUCAGCUAAGGAAAGAAAGGAGAGAAAGGUGGAAGGCUUGGGUAGUAAGUGAUUCAAGAGUAAUUAAAGAAAAAUCAAGUGGGUCUCCAGAUUCAAGAAAUAUAAGGCAAGGGUUUUUGUGUUUUAAGCUCAUGGUUGGUUAAAUCUUUGAAAAAAUGAUGUGUGAAUCAUUUUGUGGCAGCUAUGGUGACCAUGGGUGUGAGGAAAUUAUGAAUUUUUUUGGGUGAAAUCCAAGCUAAAACCAAGUGGAAAUACAAAAGUAAAGGUAGUGUACUGUGGUAGCUUGCCGAAGGAAAUAACGAGCGAUCGGCAAGUAGCAAUAGCUAGAUACACCUCUGAACUAAUAGCAAUGUAACAUCCUGCUAUCGUAAGGUUUUCUGAGUUAAAGGUGACUGGUCCUAGGACGAGGUGCUCUUCCCUAUCCAGUGCUCGGUAAGUUUACCAUGACACUAAAUGUUAGCCACCGUGCCCAGUCACUCCGCUGACGGUCAAGGUCUAAUUAUGUGUAUAUGAAUGCUUGAUGUGAAAUGCUAAGAUUCAUUUGUCAAGCUAUAUAUGUACAUUAUGGUUGGCGAUGCCAUUAUGAAUACAUUAUUGGGUCUUAUGAAUUGUUUUCAAA